rnacentral:rRNA from 1 species
AUUGAACGCUGGCGGCAAGCUUAACACAUGCAAGUCGAGCGGGGGAAGGUAGCUUGCUACCGGACCUAGCGGCGGACGGGUGAGUAAUGCUUAGGAAUCUGCCUAUUAGUGGGGGACAACAUCUCGAAAGGGAUGCUAAUACCGCAUACGUCCUACGGGAGAAAGCAGGGGAUCUUCGGACCUUGCGCUAAUAGAUGAGCCUAAGUCGGAUUAGCUAGUUGGUGGGGUAAAGGCCUACCAAGGCGACGAUCUGUAGCGGGUCUGAGAGGAUGGUCCGCAACACUGGGACUGAGACACGGCCAAGAUUCCUACGGGAGGAAGCAGUGGGGAAUAUUGGACAAUGGGGGGAACCCUGAUCCAGCCAUGCCGCGUGUGUGAAGAAGGCCUUAUGGUUGUAAAGCACUUUAAGCGAGGAGGAGGCUACUUUAGUUAAUACCUAGAGAUAGUGGACGUUACUCGCAGAAUAAGCACCGGCUAACUCUGUGCCAGCCGCCGCCGUAACAC